GAUACAACAAGUCUCGGAAACCCAUCUCUUCCUUUGAGAAGCAGCGGGGCUUUCAUCACCUAUUGAGUAUCCUGUUGUUGGACUUCUUUCUCAGCCUUGUUCAAGGGGAACUAGGGGCUUACGUUUUUGGAACAAAAGGAUGAGUUGAGUUCAAUGAGCUGAAGCACAAGACAACAGACACUAUUGAUUCCUUGUGUACUAUAUUCUUACAAUGGGGCAUCUUAUUUUAGAUAUGUCAGUCAAACCAGGAAAUUUAGAUGUGGUCAACAAACCGGCCCAUUUUUGUAACCUGCUCGACUAUAGUUUCCGGUACGAUUGUUUUCUUUUGUGCUUACAACUUACCGGUAAGUUUGGUCCUAUUUUUCUUGUGUAUAU